rnacentral:rRNA from 1 species
AUUGAACGCUGGCGGAAUGCUUUACACAUGCAAGUCGAACGGCAGCACGGGGGCAACCCUGGUGGCGAGUGGCGAACGGGUGAGUAAUACAUCGGAACGUGCCCAGUCGUGGGGGAUAACGUAGCGAAAGCUACGCUAAUACCGCAUACGAACUCUGGUUGAAAGCGGGGGAUCGCAAGACCUCGCGCGAUUGGAGCGGCCGAUGGCAGAUUAGGUAGUUGGUGGGGUAAAGGACGACCAAGCCGACGAUCUGUAGCUGGACUGAGAGGACGACGCGCCACGCAGGGGCUGGGGCACAGCCCAGACUCCUACGGGCGGCAGCAGUGGGGAAUUUUGGGCAAUGGGCGCAAGCCUGAUCCAGCAAUGCCGCGUGCAGGAAGAAGGCCUUCGGGUUGUAAACUGCUUUUGUACGGAACGAAACGGUCUGGGUUAAUACCCUUGAGCAGUGACGUUACUCGCAGAAUAAGCACCGGCUAACUCUGUGCCAGCCGCCGCGGUAACAC